rnacentral:rRNA from 1 species
UGGAAGUAAAAAGUUCGUAACAAGGUUUCCGUAGGUGAACCUGCGGAAGGAUCAUUACUGAGUGAGGGCCCUCUGGGUCCAACCUCCCACCCGUGUUUAUUUACCUUGUUGCUUCGGCGGGCCCGCCUUAACUGGCCGCCGGGGGGGCUUACGCCCCCGGGCCCGCGCCCGCCGAAGACACCCUCGAACUCUGUCUGAAGAUUGUAGUCUGAGUGAAAAUAUAAAUUAUUUAAAACUUUCAACAACGGAUCUCUUGGUUCCGGCAUCGAUGAAGAACGCAGCGAAAUGCGAUACGUAAUGUGAAUUGCAAAUUCAGUGAAUCAUCGAGUCUUUGAACGCACAUUGCGCCCCCUGGUAUUCCGGGGGGCAUGCCUGUCCGAGCGUCAUUGCUGCCCUCAAGCACGGCUUGUGUGUUGGGCCCCGUCCUCCGAUUCCGGGGGACGGGCCCGAAAGGCAGCGGCGGCACCGCGUCCGGUCCUCGAGCGUAUGGGGCUUUGUCACCCGCUCUGUAGGCCCGGCCGGCGCUUGCCGAUCAACCCAAAUUUUUAUCCAGGUUGACCUCGGAUCAGGUAGGGAUACCCGCUGAACUA